rnacentral:sRNA from 1 species
GUUCCAUACCUUCUUCAGUUGUUGAUGCUUUGCCUUCCUCUCUUGCAUCAUCUUCUCACGAUUAUCAUAGAAAUCAAAGUCAUCCAGUAACGACGUCUUGCAGACAUGGUCCUUGAAAAUCUUAAGCACUUGAAGCCCUGGCUCAAGUUUCACCUUAUCUCUGCAAUUUGUGACUGGUUUGUUCUCAUUGUUUUCAAGAAUGAUGUGUUUCAGUAAGCUGUUUGGAACAUCCUUCACAAUAUGCCACUUUACAGGGAAACAGCCAGUCCACUUGUCCUGUUGCCAGUGUUCCAAUGUCUUGUUAAAAUCAACACGGCCCACCAUCUCAGCAAGACCAACAAACUGACCACUUGCAUUCACAGAGAAAAGAAGGAACACAGAAGAAUCACUUGAUUUUUCCUUAGCCUCCUGAUAAGCAGCAUCAAGCUUUUUAUUACCAUUGGAUGUGCUAGCCCAAACAUUGUACUUAAUGCUCUUGUGAACAUCAUCCUCACUGUAUGAUUUGAU